rnacentral:rRNA from 1 species
AUUGAACGCUGGCGGCAUGCUUUACACAUGCAAGUCGAACGGUAACAGGCCGCAAGGUGCUGACGAGUGGCGAACGGGUGAGUAAUGCAUCGGAACGUGCCCAGUCGUGGGGGAUAACGCAGCGAAAGCUGGGCUAAUACCGCAUACGAUCUAUGGAUGAAAGCGGGGGACCGUAAGGCCUCGCGCGAUUGGAGCGGCCGAUGUCGGAUUAGGUAGUUGGUGGGGUAAAGGCUCACCAAGCCGACGAUUUGGAGCUGGUCUGAGAGGACGACCGGCGACACUGGGACGGAGACACGGCACAGAGUCCUACGGGAGGCAGCAGUGGGGAAUUUUGGACAAUGGGCGCAAGCCUGAUCCAGCAAUGCCGCGUGCAGGAAGAAGGCCUUCGGGUUGUAAACUGCUUUUGUACGGAACGAAACGGCUCUGGUUAAUACCUGGGGCUAAUGACGGUACCGUAAGAAUAAGCACCGGCUAACUACGUGCCAGCAGCCGCCGUAACAC